GGUUCAGGAUGAACGCUGACAGAAUGCUUAACACAUGCAAGUCUACUUGAUCCUCGGGUGAAGGUGGCGGACGGGUGAGUAACGCGUAAAGAACUUGCCUUACAGACUGGGACAACAUUUGGAAACGAAUGCUAAUACCGGAUAUUAUGAUUGGGUCGCAUGAUCUGGUUAUGAAAGCUAUAUGCGCUGUGAGAGAGCUUUGCGUCCCAUUAGUUAGUUGGUGAGGUAACGGCUCACCAAGACGAUGAUGGGUAGCCGGCCUGAGAGGGUGAACGGCCACAAGGGGACUGAGACACGGCCCUUACUCCUACGGGAGGCAGCAGUGGGGAAUAUUGGACAAUGGACCAAAAGUCUGAUCCAGCCAAUUCUGUGUGCACGAUGAAGUUUUUCGGAAUGUAAAGUGCUUUCAGUUGGGAAGAAGUCAGUGACGGUACCAACAGAAGAAGCGACGGCUAAAUACGUGCCAGCCGCCGC
rnacentral:rRNA from 1 species